rnacentral:tRNA from 1 species
GCCCGGGUGCCGGAAUUGGUAGACGGAGGGGCCUUAAAAGCCCCGGCCCCUUAGGGGCGUACGGGUUCGAUCCCCGUCCCGGGCA